ensembl:lncRNA
AGCAGAGCCUUGCACCUGUCUAGCAAGGCAGAGCAAACAGCAGCAGCUGAGCACUGCAGGAGCAGCACUGGGAAGUUCUUUGCAUCCCAACCAGUUGCCUGGGCAGUCACACAGUCAGGCAAGGCCCACGUGUGGAGAAAAGGAACCACCUCCAUGGAAGGGUCAGAGGAACAAAGGAAGGAGUGAAUGGAGGUCAGCUGGCACCAGGGUCCUGUUAAGAAAAAUCCCUGACUUCUGCUGUUGUUGCCUGCAUCGAGCUGGGAGGAUAACAGGGAAUGCUGUUUGUCAGCUGUCGUGCAAGAGCAGACCUGGUGUUCUGCGCAGGGUCUCAGAGCGGCACGGUGAUGAUGUCAGCAGCAAAGGGGUGCUUAUGGCUGAUACAGCUCCUGCCAAGCCCACGGAUGAGCUGAGGCACAGCACAGCCACAGAGCAUCCACAUGUAGGUGUCACACAGCAUCUUCUGAAAUAACAGAGGCGUUACAGCUCAGAACAGCACACCAUCAGAUGAUGAAUCCAGACCUCUUCUCGUCAUCCCCGCUUGGAGCUGCACCAAAUGGUUAUUGCAGGAGUCCAUGCCUGAUGUCUCCCAGCGGGGAUGCGGGGCAGCCUGAGCAGCCCAGCUCAGCCCAGGGAGCAGCCAUUAAACACGAUUCUAUUGACUAAAGAAACCAAGAAGUGGAUAUUGACAUUGUCAGAAACUGUGCAGGCAAAUAAUUUGCCUCAAGAUUGUAUUCUCACCAUACUGUUAUCUACAUUUUUUGAGAUGUUUUUAUUUUCUAUUCUCCAGCUUUUAUGAAUCAGAAAGUCUUGGCUCUGGCUUUUGUGAGGAGAUAUGGUUUACACCUGGACUGCUGGUGUUGGAAUUUUAAAUAUUAAAAGCUAACGUUCAGUCUAGAUCAGCCCUACACCAUCACUCCUACAGGGAGCUGCUGUGCUGAAUGUUUCUGUUUCUGAGCACAGUAUCAACCACCUCUGUCCUUGUCAAGCCCUACGGAAAGGAACAUUUACCAGACUCUGUGAGAAUGGUCUGAAAAAUAUCUGGAAAUGACAUUUUAUGAGAGAGUGUGCUCUGGCUGGAAGACAUCAGAAGGUUGGUGUCUCGCCUUAGAAGUUCUGUGUUUCCUCCCUCUACAACCGCUGUCAUCACAGCACCCCCACCUCACUGCCUUUAUUUUAGGAGAUGCUUUCUCUGUGCUCUCACGUCAGUCUCAGUGGGGAAGAUUCCAAAAGGGGCAGGAAGGAGCUGCAGUCUAUUUGUGGCUGCCACGGCGCCUUCUGCACCACGCACUGCUCCGUGCUGCCCGCAGAGCGGCUGAGCACAGCACCCACUGCGCACUGAGCAGUGCCCACACACCGCACAUAUUGCUGAGUUUGGGUCUGGGUGCCGCUUGAAGUUUCCCCACAUCAAUCACAGCCAUGCAGGUCUCUCCUCUAUGAUCAUAUUUCAAAUUCCCGUGUAUUCCACCUAUGUAACACAGAAGGAACACCUACCAUGACAAACUCACGGGGUUGGGCAGCACGAUGCUCUCUCCCCUUCUGGCUGCUUCCCAGCUGCCUGUGCUUGCAGGGUUUAGGAGACCUCUGUGGUUGUUUUGAGGAGUACCCUUCCUGCACUUGUCUGUAUGUGGUCACCUAAGGACAAGCCAGGCAGGUCUCCUCUUGCCAGCUUGCCAAGGAGAAUGGCUGUCCUUAAUUAAACAGAUAACAUCAGUGGCCAAGAUGCUCUGCAUUAGUGUAAGCAGCUCUCGAUCAAAGGAUUCUACGUCCAUGAUGAUUAGACACAGCCAAUGGCCCCUUCCUUCCAAGGGAAGGUCGUUGUUUCCACCACAUGCAUCUCCCCCCUUCCAAAGGCUCAGACACCCACCUGGGAUCCAUCUCAGGGCAGCCACUGCUCUGGCUGUGUCUGUACCACAUCCCAGCCCUGUGGCACUCACAUCCCUUUCCCCUUACUAUGGUCUGGCCAUGGCCCCACACUGCAGUGCAGCAGGGCUGGCACACACUGCUCCAGCAGCACAGCAUGGCGUGGGCAGGCAGCUGUGUGCCCAGCACCCUGAGCUGACACCACACGCUUGGCUCUAAUAGUAAAAUCAGGGGGACUAUUAAAGUAGAUUAUGCACUAAUAAUUAUGCAAAUAUUCCUUCAGUGAAACUAUAAAAAUCUCAUGAAGAUUUAACACCUGGCUAUUACAUGGAGAGAAAUAUGUGGAAAUGAAAAUGAAGAUCAUUAACUUUAAGGAGUUAGGGGAAUUUUUUCUGCUAUCAUUUAAAUACACGGCUUGGGAUGCCUUUGAAGGUUUAACCUGGAGGAGAUUAUCAGUUAUAACACUGUUGAAAUGCAGCUGCAGGACGACAAUGGGCUCUGCUUGGAGGAGGGAGGGCAGCAGAGCCCACCCAGCACAUCCCUUCAGAGAGAGAGAACCACAGCACUACAGUACUCAUAGAGGGCUGAACUUUGUCAUCCCAGACAAGUGCAGGGGCAGCUCCCAGACAGCAGUGAGGAUGGAGCAGCAGAAUCACUCAGCAGCCCUGAUCCCCACAGAAGAACCCAGAGCUACACCACAUACUGGGAGAUGUGAGGAAAUCUAAUAGAAGCCACCUGAAGGAGCAAAUCAAUUAACUGAUUGCAGCUGGGUUCAGCACCCAGGUCCUGCCGUAACAUUUACUCCAUUAACUUUAAAAGCACAGGGACCUCUGGAAGACUGGAUACUAACUGGUGGGUGAAGCUCAGAGGGGAAUGGUUAUCCUGAUGGAAGAAAUCAAAGCAAAACCUUUAUUUUCUUAUGAUUAAACACCAUUGUGGUUGUUUGGGUGGGACACACAGUGCUGCUCAUUAUUUGGUCCCAGCAUGGUAGAGCUGCAGC